ensembl:lncRNA
UAUGUGAGGGUAGUGCCUGCAGGUGGAGAGUGCUAUGACACUGGACCCUUCUUCCCUUCUGACCCACAUCAUUUGACUCGCAUGGGCAUCGCACAGAGACGCCACCUGCUGCUCCGCCCCAACUGGCUGAUGAUCGGUGGGCUUUUAGUAGGAGCUGUGGUAAUCCUGUGCUUGUGUGUCAUUAUAUUGGUAAGUGAUAAGGAAGGCUUUAACAAAAACCUUGGGGUUAACAAAACUUGGCUUAUUGAAGUGACCGAACACUGUGUCCUCACAGAUCUUGUUCAGGAAUUACGGCUGGCCUGAGAAACUGCCAGCUCAGGUCAGGUACCGUGAUCUGCAGCUAAGGUACAACAUGGACGACUAUUCAUCAAAGGGCUCCAGGGUGGUGGCUGUGAAAAAAACACAUCGAAACCUGCAGGUGGGGUUGACUGAGGAUUCAGUGCAGAGAGCAGUGGCUCUGGUGUCAAAUGAAUUCUGGGACUAUGAAGAGCAAGUGGAUCUCGAAGCAUUCAGCUCCAGCACCUUCUAUGACAUCCUACUCAAGCACAGCGUGUCUGUCACAAUACGUCUCGGGCAGCUCAGAGGAGAGGUGAGACUCUAUGAGAACAACAGUCUAUUUCCUGCCCCUAUGAGCUUCAAAUAUCACCCUCGUAAAGUUCAAAUAUAUUUACCCAUAUUGAAUAACAUCACUGAGAUGCUCAGUUGUAAUUAACAGUCUCUCUUGUUUCAUGGUCCACUAUGAUACCAUGUAGGAUACAGCAGUGAAUUGUUACUUCCCUGGGGUGAAGUGCGUGGAUCAACUAAAAUGAGUUGUAAAUAUAGCAUUUCUUUUCAGCUUGUUUCAUUGAUGGAAACAUUUGCCCUGUCUAGGUGAAGCAUCUCUAUCAGGGGGUGCUGGGGAAGUUGAGAGAGCUCCACCCUGGCUGGAGGAUGUUUGGAGGGAAAACCGAAGGUCUGGAGAGGCAGGUGGAGCAGGAGAUGGUGCGACGAAGAGCACUGGGCAAUCAGCUGACACAGCUGCUGGACAGCCAGCUGCAGAUCCUGCGGGUGGAGAUGAGAGCACAGCAGGCCAUGCAGAAGACCUUCAGAGCACGACUGAGAGAGAGCGCGAGGCUUCUGAGACUGCUGGCUGAGGGUCAGACCUCGCUCUGGGAUAAACACAUCAAGCAACAUGUUCUGGAGCGGGUAGCUGUGCUGGCUGAUGAGAUGACUGAGAAGGUAUCAGUGGAGAGCCAGAGGCUGGGGGCCUGGGUUGUGCUUAAAGAGGGCACUGGAGCACAGCUAUUAUGCCCUGCUACUGGAUCAGUCCUCAGUAGGGAAGACAUCAUCGCUCCUGAUGGAUCUCUUAGAGCUUGUGAUGCCGUUCAUGUAAACCCCCUCACAGGCCUCAUUCAGCCCAACUCUAACGCCCAUAUGUUACUGGCCAGUGGACACAGCAUGCCAGUUCCCCCGGACUUCUUCCUACACUCCCAGACUGGCAAACUACUGCCUAUGGCUGGAAACGUGGGCUUUGAUCCUGUUUCCUCCACCCUUGUCUUUACAGCCGAUGCUUGUGUGGGGGAGGUGGGAAAAUGGGAACUACCCCUGCUGCCUUUCAUUCCGUACCCUCCGUCCCGCCACGCCGAACUUCAUGCUGCUUCCAAACUACGGGGGCUUCGUUCAGGCCAAAGGCUGAUGCUUGGAGGACCCAUGUGUGACUGUGACACUGGUGUUUUGGUGCCUAUUCAGGCAGUCACCAUCCAUCCACAAACAGGAUUGGUUUAUCCUUUGGGAGGCGUGCACACGUGUCCCAUCUCACGCCUGUGGCAGCCUAUUCAAAUAGGCUCUCCCAUGCUGGACCCACGUACAGGUGACCUAGUGCUCAUCACGGGCAUCACUCUUGAUCCCCAUACAGGGGCUGUACUUCCAGUUGGGGGGCUUCUCCUAGGCGAGUCCUUCAUCGAGCCCUUGAGCGGACGGAUGGUGCGGGUUGGUGGAGGCAGCGUGCGAGGAGGAAAGGUGGUGCCUCAUGCUGGGGGUUUCCAGGCUCUGCUGGACAGCCAGGCUCUGGGCGCUUGCUUGCGAAUGGCAGAGCUCCUGCAAGGAUUCAGCUCAGCAGCUGCAGAUCCACAAGGUGACCUGGACAGACUCUCGGCAGCAACAUCUGAGCUGGAGCAGGCCUGGAAAAGCAGCCAACACUGUAUGUUGCAGCUGCUGAGUCGCCUGGAAGCCGUACAGGGACAGGCCAGGGGUGUGGUGGAGAAUGGCGGUAGUGUGGGGGAAAUUAAGCUUCCUGGCAUUGAGCUCUCCUUGCCAGCUCUCCCCGGGUUGGAGUAUCCUGACCCUGGAGGCUCGGGUCUGCAUGUCCCAGUUCUGGGAGCUCAGUUGGACUGGAUGUCAGGAUCUAUGGUGCCCCUGGCAGGAACCAUGGAGGAUGCAGAUGGUAAAGGGCUAGUUCCCAUACAUUUUGGAGCGCAGACAGUGGACCCAGUGACAGGGGUGCUGGCUCCGGUUGUGGGGGCCAGUCUGGAUGUUUGGAAGUGGACUGUGGUUCCUGUAACUGUGUCCCAGAUUCUGACGUUAGGAGAAAACCCAGACAGUGUCACGGUGGAAGCCCUCCAGAAAGAGAGCAGUGUACAGGGCAAUUACUGGCGUGAGCAGACACUGAAGGAAGAGGAGAUGGUGGGAGAUUUUGACAGAGCCAUUAAACACUAUCUGUCCACAUCCAUACACGAGUCUGACUGUAUAGACUGGAUGGACACAGACAGGCACCUCAGGGAGACCGCCGCUGAGAUUCAGGAAAGUGCUCAGUGUGAGGCCCAGAGAAAAGCUCUCCAGAACUCAGAGUUAUCGCUGCUCCUACAAGCCCAUGUGUUACACACCUUCACAGGAGGAGAUGAAGAGGAGUGGGAGCAGCAGUGUUACUGGCACACUGAGCUUAAGGCCGUGCUGAACCGAGUGAGUGUGUCCAUGGAGAGACUGCAGAGGGACCGGGAUCAGCUGUCGGCACAGGAAACGCAGCAUCUGGUCAGCUUGUUUUCACAUUGAAACAUAAAAAAACACUCUCACCCUCAGACAGAAAGAUACAAUGCUGACAACAGUCUGUUGAGCUCAUUACUACUUUGUUGAACAACUGAAUGAGCAGAUCAAUACAUUGGAAGCUUGAUAUCCUUCAUAAGACUAUUGGUGCGAUCGCCAAUAUUCUGGCUUUGCACUGUCCAUUUUCCAGUUUGAUGGAGUGCAGUCUGGGAUGAAUAACACAGUGUCUUUUAAUUAUGACAGGAUGGAAAACUGAGGGAGCAGGAUCUGUGGGAGCAUUUAAUGCAGAGACAAGCAGAGCUGGAUGCUGCACUUUCAACUCUUCACUGUGCUCGUCAGGUCUGCCAGCUGCGUGCUGACAUUGCACAGGUAACACAUGCCGGAGGUCAAUUGUGUAGUGAUGUCCUUGGUUUACCUUAGAGCCGUUUGGUGUCUAUGGGACAAUUAGGAAUGCUUUAGCAGACUUUAAUCCACCUUUUCCCCUGAAAGUCUACUGAAUUGAUUCUUUUCCCUUAGUCUUUGGUUUGUGGCACAUUCUGGUAUAAGGAUUUUGGCAUGCUGCAGCCUAAGGGUGUGAGGAACCCUCUGAAAGUAAUAGCCAUGACUCAGCAGAAAAUCCUUCCUCGGCUUGAACGACUUAUUCAGCUGCUGGAGGAAACCAAAGCACUUGGCCAGUCGACCAGCACACAGCGGCAGCAGAGCUCUGGUACAAUAACCUCAUUUAUGCCUUAUUACAGGAAAGUUAAUCAUGCUUUUGUUUGAGUUGCAAAAUGUUUCUCAAAAGGAAAGCAGGCGUUCGACCGAGACAGCGCUUCCAGAGCGUGGACCGAAUCUGUGUCUGUUGUGAAAGGUAUUUUUCAGUGCACAAAACAAUAAAUAGUGAGAUUCUGGUUGUCA